AACGAACGCUGGCGGCAGGCUUAACACAUGCAAGUCGAACGCAUCGCAAGAUGAGUGGCAGACGGGUGAGUAACGCGUGGGAAUCUACCCAUCUCCGCGGAAUAGCUCUGGGAAACUGGAAUUAAUACCGCAUACGCCCUACGGGGGAAAGAUUUAUCGGGGAUGGAUGUGCCCGCGUUGGCUUAGCUAGUUGGUGGGGUAAAGGCCUACCAAGGCGACGAGCCAUAGCUGGUCUGAGUGGAUGAUCAGCCACAUUGGGACUGAUACACGGCCCAAACUCCUACGGGAGGCAGCAGUGGGGAAUAUUGGAGAAUGGGCGCAAGCCGGUUCCAGCCAUGCCGCGUGAGUGAUGAAGGCCUUAGGGUUGUAAAGCUCUUUCACCGAUGAAGAUAAUGACGGUAGUCGGAGAAGAAGCCCCGGCUAACUUCGUGCAAGCAGCCGCAGUAAGAC
rnacentral:rRNA from 1 species